UCGAGGGGCAGCAUAUGGAUUGCUUGCAAUCCAUGAUGGCGACCGGCGCACGGGUGCGUAACGCGUAUGUAACUUGCCUUAUGCAGGAGGAUAACCCGAAGAAAUUCGGCCUAAUACUCCAUAAGUGUCAGAGAGGCAUCUUUCGGGCAUGAAAGAUUUAUCGGCAUAAGAUAGACAUGCGUGACAUUAGCUAGUCGGUGAGGUAACGGCUCACCGAGGCGACGAUGUCUAGGGGUUCUGAGAGGAAGGUCCCCCACACUGGUACUGAGACACGGACCAGACUCCUACGGGAGGCAGCAGUGAGGAAUAUUGGUCAAUGGACGGAAGUCUGAACCAGCCAUGCCGCGUGCAGGAUGACGGCUCUAUGAGUUGUAAACUGCUUUUGUACGAGAAUAAUAGUUCUUACGUGUAGGGAUUUGAAUGUAUCGUACGAAUAAGGAUCGGCUAACUCCGUGCCAGCAGCCGCGGUAAUACGGAGGAUUCGAGCGUUAUCCGGAUUUAUUGGGUUUAAAGGGUGCGUAGGCUGUCGGAUAAGUUAGAGGUCAAAUGUCGGGGCUUAACCCCGUGCCUGCCUCUGAUACUGUUCGACUGGAGAGCGGAUGCAGCAGGCGGAAUGAGUAGUGUAGCGGUGAAAUGCUUAGAUAUCACACAGAACACCGAUUGCGAAGGCAUCUCACGAAUCCGCGAUUGACGCUGAUGCACGAAAGCGUGGGUAUCAAACAGGAUUAGAUACUCUGGUAGUCCACGCUGUAGACGAUGAUGACUAA
rnacentral:rRNA from 1 species